UUUUUUCAAUCUAAUGCUAUAUAAGAUAUGAAUUAAAUAAAAUCAACUUAAAUAAUACUAUCAACGAUAUUAAGAUAUAUAUUCCAAAAUUUUAAUCCAUCUUAAUAUUGAAUUAUCAUGUACUAUUUUUUUUAUAUUUAGUCUAAUUCUAAAAUAUAAACGCAUCUUACAAGCAUAAAUAACGACUUAGAAGGUAUUUGGCUGAGCUUAUAAGUGCACUUCCAGUGGAAGCUCUUAGAGUCGGAUUGAUCUGGGCUCUAUGAGCCCCCUUCGCGCCUAGAGCAGAUCGAAGCGGCAUUUUGGCAAGAGCCGGGUGACUAGAGCUUCUAUGUGGG
rnacentral:lncRNA from 1 species